rnacentral:rRNA from 1 species
AUGGGUUGGUUCGUAGGAGUCUUGUCUCUCCUUUGCUGCUUCCUCUUGUACUACCGUCAUCUCCAGUCCAAGAAAACAUGCAAGGAGGAGCCCACCGAAUGGCCAUUGGUGGGCCAUCUUUUCGGCAUGAUCGCUGACCUGAGGCGACCGAAUUACCAUGACUGGGCCACCGUGAUCCUCGCCGGCACACGCCACAACUUCGCAGGUCAUACGGGGCUAGCCGGCGUCCGGUUCUUCGUCACCUGCGAUCCGUCCAAUGUGCGCCACAUCUUCACGUCCAACUUCCUCAACUACCCCAAGGGCGAGGAGUUCGCGGAGAUCUUCGACGUCCUGGGCCACGGCAUCUUCAACGCCGACGGUGAGUCUUGGCAGCGGCAGCGUGCCAAGUCCCAGCUCCUGAUGGCCGCCCCCCGUUUCCGCUCUUUCUCUGCACGGUGCAGCCGUGACAAGGUGGAGAAGAGCCUCCUUCCAUUCCUAGCGCACGCUGCUGACGCCGGCGCCCGCUGUGACCUACACGACGUGUUCCUAAGGUUGACCUUUGACAUGACCUGCAAACUCGUCUUCGGGGUCGACCCCAGCUGCCUGCAGAUCGGCCUCCCCGAUGUGCCCUUCGCUCGCGCCAUGGACAACGUGCUGGAGACGGUCAUCCUCCGGCACAUCAUCCCUCCGGCGUGCUGGAGGCUCAUGUACCGGUAUGAGGUCGGUCCAGAGAAGAAGAUGGCCGUGGCUCGUAGGACCAUCGACCGAUUCGCCGUAGACAUGAUCGCCAAACGCAGAUCCGAUCUCAACCUCCACGUCGCGAAUCCCCCGACAUGCUAUCUGAACCUCCUGCUCGCCGGCCGGGACACCACCGGCACAGCGCUGUCGUGGUUCUUCUACCUCCUAUGCAAGCACCCGCGCGUGGAGCUGAGGAUCCGGGAUGAGCUGGCGCCGAUCGCAGCCACAAAGAUGGUGGCCGCGGCCAACGACAUGGCGGUGUUCGACGUGACCGAGCUGAGCAACAUGGUGUACCUGCACGCGGCGCUGUGUGAGUGCCUUAGGCUUUACCCGCCCGUGCCCUUCCAGCACAAGGUGGCAGCGCACAGUGACGUGCUCCCAAGCGGCCACCAGAUGAAGACCGGCGACAAGAUACUCGUCUACUCCUACUCCAUGGGGAGGAUGGAUGGCGUGUGGGGCAAGGACUGCAUGGAGUUCAGGCCGGAGAGGUGGAUCGCCGAUGACGGAAAGCUGAGGUACGAGCCGUCUUACAAGUUCAUCGCCUUUAACACCGGUCCCAGGACCUGCCUCGGCAAGGAAGUGGCCUUCACGCAGAUGAAGGUCGUCGUCGCCGCCAUGCUGUGGAACUUCACGGUUGAGGCCGUGCCGGAGCACGUCGUCGAACCAAAGCUGUCCAUCAUACUCCACAUGAAAAACGGUCGAUUUCAUAGGAGAAGGAAGAAGGAGGUGAAACGCAGCACCAAGGUGGAGAUGGGGGCACAGCAGAAACCGGCAGCGAGGCUCAUGGAUGUGGGUGAAGCUGAGCAAGGAGCAACCCAUAACCCACGUCGUCGCAAGUGGAAGCGAGUCCAAGGUUUGACAUGUGGGGGUGGGGCGGCUUUUCAUAUUGGCUUCCCUGUUGUAUUAUAUGGAGUGCAGAUUAGGACUAGAGGAAAAAGAUGA